rnacentral:rRNA from 1 species
AUGAACGCUGGCGGCGUGCCUAAUACAUGCAAGUCGAGCGAACGGACGAGAAGCUUGCUUCUCUGAUGUUAGCGGCGGACGGGUGAGUAACACGUUGAUAACCUACCUAUAAGACUGGGAUAACUUCGGGAAACCGGAGCUAAUACCGGAUAAUAUUUUGAACCGCAUGGUUCAAAAGUGAAAGACGGUCUUGCUGUCACUUAUAGAUGGAUCCGCGCUGCAUUAGCUAGUUGGUAAGGUAACGGCUUACCAAGGCAACGAUGCAUAGCCGACCUGAGAGGGUGAUCGGCCACACUGGAACCGAGACACGGUCCAGACUCCUACGGGAGGCAGCAGUAGGGAAUCUUCCGCAAUGGGCGAAAGCCUGACGGAGCAACGCCGCGUGAGUGAUGAAGGUCUUCGGAUCGUAAAACUCUGUUAUUAGGGAAGAACAUAUGUGUAAGUAACUGUGCACAUCUUGACGGUACCUAAUCAGAAAGCCACGGCUAACUACGUG